CUGUUAUCCAUUACACGUGGAGAGGCGAAAGAUCUAGACUACGCCACGACUUAUUGUGUAUGCCCAGGCACAGAGGGGGUCUAGCGCUGCCGGAUUUCAAAAAGUACCACCAAGCGGCGACCCUACAACGGAUCCUGGAGUGGCAUGAAACAGACACGAGCAAGCAAUGGGUGUAUUUGGACAGGGAGGGAGACACCGCAAAACUAAAAGCGAUGGUGUGGAGGAGACGGACGACCAGGAGCGGUAGGAAACAAGCCGAAGGCCCGGUAGAACAGACAUUGCUUACAUGGGAAAGCCUUAGGGAAAUACCCAGGGUCUCUCCGACCCCGAGCCCCUUGCUGCCGCUUGCACACAACCCCGAUAUAGGAGGUGGGCUGCCUGGGGAAGCCUGGACAUUCCUG